rnacentral:rRNA from 1 species
AGUGAACGCUGGCGGUAGGCCUAACACAUGCAAGUCGAACGGCAGCACAGUAAGAGCUUGCUCUUACGGGUGGCGAGUGGCGGACGGGUGAGGAAUACAUCGGACUCUACUUUUUCGUGGGGGAUAACGUAGGGAAACUUACGCUAAUACCGCAUACGACCUACGGGUGAAAGCAGGGGAUCUUCGUACCUUGCGCGAUUGAAUGAGCCGAUGUCGGAUUAGCUAGUUGGCGGGGUAAAGGCCCACCAAGGCGACGAUCCGUAGCUGGUCUGAGAGGAUGGUCAGCCACACGGGAACUGAGACACGGUCCAGACUCCUACGGGAGGCAGCAGUGUGGAAUAUUGGACAAUGGGCGCAAGCCUGAUCCAGCCAUAGCGCGUGGGUGAAGAAGGCCUUCGGGUUGGAAAGCCCUUCUGUUGGGAAAGAAAAGCAGCAGGUUAAUACCCCGCUGUUCUGACGGUACCCAAAGAAUAAGCACCGGCUAACUUCGUG